rnacentral:rRNA from 1 species
GACGAACGCUGGCGGCGUGCUUAACACAUGCAAGUCGAACGGAAAGGCCCUGCUUUUGUGGGGUGCUCGAGUGGCGAACGGGUGAGUAACACGUGAGUAACCUGCCCUUGACUUUGGGAUAACUUCAGGAAACUGGGGCUAAUACCGUAUAGGAGCUCCUGCUGCAGGGUGGGGGUGGGAAAGUUUCGGCGGUUGGGGAUGGACUCGCGGCUUAUCAGCUUGUUGGUUGGGUAGUGGCUUACCAAGGCUUUGACGGGUAGCCGGCCUGAGAGGGUGACCGGCCACAUUGGGACUGAGAUACGGCCCAGACUCCUACGGGAGGCAGCAGUGGGGAAUAUUGCACAAUGGGCGGAAGCCUGAUGCAGCAACGCCGCGUGCGGGAUGACGGCCUUCGGGUUGUAAACCGCUUUCGCCUGUGACGAAGCGUGAGUGACGGUAAUGGGUAAAGAAGCACCGGCUAACUACGUG